ACCGACCCCAGACGAAUUGUUUUGGUGCAGCCCAGCAUUCUUGGAGUUGGCAUCAUUGAUGGACAAAUUCAAGGCAAUACAACCAGGACGGUCGUAAUUCAAGAGGGUAAAAAAUUACUUUUGUUUAAAAAAAAAUGAGUUUUUAAACAAAUUUUUUUGGUACGGUUAAAAAUUUACGACUGAGGUGUGGUACUGCUGGUAAUCCAAGGCCGGAGGUGUCCUGGAUGAGAGCAGACGGAUCUCUUACACAUACAGGAUCAUGGCAAACUAGUGACGUACUUGGACCAACAUUUAAUAUAACCCAAGUUCAUCGCGAUCACAUGGGAGUGUAUCUAUGCGAGGCUGACAACGGCAUUCCUCCGCCUUCUUACCGCACCGUCAACGUGGAAGUUCAUUUUCCUCCUGUGAUUCGUACUGAAAGUUCAUCGGUUGGGUUGCCAACGGAAGUUCGGUGGUUUUGGAAUGUGUGGUGGAGGCAUUCCCCGAGUCUCUUUGCCAUUGGGAACGAGCAGACGGCAGAUCGAUCGACAGCACACAUAAGGCAUUCCUGAGAGACUAAGGAAAAUACAAAGUUCAAAUGACAUUCAAUCGUACUAUCACAAAUCUUGCCCUAACGCAUAAUGUGUUCAGCAAUUACAAUGUUGUACAAACACAUACUGAAAUCGCCUUCACGCGCUUUGUGUAAU